GGCAGUGUAGCUCAGUGGUAGAGUGCUUGCCUAGCAUCCAAGAGGUCCUGGGUUUUAUCCCCAGCACCUCAA
rfam:Ictidomys tridecemlineatus contig063659, whole genome shotgun sequence.